UACGUAGGGUGCGAGCGUUAAUCGGAAUUACUGGGCGUAAAGCGUGCGCAGGCGGUUAUGUAAGACAGUUGUGAAAUCCCCGGGCUCAACCUGGGAAUUGCAUCUGUGACUGCAUAGCUAGAGUACGGUAGAGGGGGAUGGAAUUCCGCGUGUAGCAGUGAAAUGCGUAGAUAUGCGGAGGAACACCGAUGGCGAAGGCAAUCCCCUGGACCUGUACUGACGGCUCAUGCACGAAAGGCGUGGGGAGCAAACAGG
rnacentral:rRNA from 1 species